rnacentral:rRNA from 1 species
AGAGUUUGAUCCUGGCUCAGAUUGAACGCUGGCGGAAUGCUUUACACAUGCAAGUCGAACGGCAGCACGGGAGCUUGCUCCUGGUGGCGAGUGGCGAACGGGUGAGUAAUAUAUCGGAACGUAUCCAAUAAUGGGGGAUAACUAGUCGAAAGAUUAGCUAAUACCGCAUACGCCCUGAGGGGGAAAGCUGGGGAUCUUCGGACCUAGCGUUAAUGGAGCGGCCGAUAUCUGAUUAGCUAGUAGGUGAGGUAAAAGCUCACCUAGGCGACGAUCAGUAGCUGGUCUGAGAGGACGACCAGCCACACUGGAACUGAGACACGGUCCAGACUCCUACGGGAGGCAGCAGUGGGGAAUUUUGGACAAUGGGCGCAAGCCUGAUCCAGCCAUUCCGCGUGAGUGAAGAAGGCCUU